rnacentral:rRNA from 1 species
AUUGAACGCUGGCGGCAUGCCUUACACAUGCAAGUCGAACGGCAGCACGAACUUGCUUGCUAGAUCGAUGGCGAGUGGCGAACGGGUGAGUAAUACAUCGGAACGUGCCCUGUAGUGGGGGAUAACUAGUCGAAAGAUUAGCUAAUACCGCAUACGACCUGAGGGUGAAAGUGGGGGACCGCAAGGCCUCAUGCUAUAGGAGCGGCCGAUGUCUGAUUAGCUAGUGGGUGAGGUAAAGGCUCACCAAGGCGACGAUCAGGAGCUGGUCUGAGAGGACGAUCAGCCACAGUGGGACUGAGACACGGCCCAGACUCCUACGGGAGGCAGCAGUGGGGAAUUUUGGACAAUGGGGGCAACCCUGAUCCAGCAAUGCCGCGUGUGUGAAGAAGGCCUUCGGGUUGUAAAGCACUUUUGUCCGGAAAGAAAUCGCACUUACUAAUAUUAGGUGUGGAUGACGGUACCGGAAGAAUAAGGACCGGCUAACUACGUGCCAGCCGCCGCAGUAACAC